AAUGAACGCUAGCGGCAGGCCUAAUACAUGCAAGUCGAACGGUGUAGCAAUACACAGUGGCGCACGGGUGCGUAACACGUAUGCAACCUACCUUACAUUGGGGGAUAGCCUUUCGAAAGGGAGAUUAAUACCGCAUAAGACAGUAACUAGGCAUCUAGUAGCUGUUAAAGAUUUAUCGAUGUAAGCUGGGCAUGCGUCCAAUUAGUUAGUUGGCGAGGUAACGGCUCACCAAGACGAUGAUUGGUAGGGGAACUGAGAGGUCAAUCCCCCACACUGGCACUGAGAUACGGGCCAGACUCCUACGGGAGGCAGCAGUAGGGAAUAUUGGGCAAUGGGCGCAAGCCUGACCCAGCCAUGCCGCGUGCAGGAAGAAGGCGUUAUGCGUUGUAAACUGCUUUUAUACAGGAAGAAACGACCCUUGCGAGGGGCAUUGACGGUACUGUAUGAAUAAGCACCGGCUAACUCCGUGCCAGCCGCCGCGGUAACAC
rnacentral:rRNA from 1 species